GAACUGGUUGCAGAGUACAAGAAAACAACUUCUAUGUGCCUCAAGUGAAAUUUAUUAUCAGAUUGUGUUGGGUCAUUAAUACAGAAGAAAUGGCCCUAUGGAAGCUGACCAAAUAUCCAUGCAUCUUUGACAUGCAAGACAAGAUCGUUGUUCAUUAUACUGAACGCAACGCUCUGUCCAGCCCCUUUAGUACUAUACACCUAUUAAGGAUGGGCCACGAACAGUGGGUUUUCCCAGUCAGAAGACAGUGCCUUCUGCAAGACAUAUGGACCCAUUUAAAUGACGCACCAACCCAGCAGUUCAGGAGGAUCUUAACGGUAAGAUACUAAAUAGUAUUAUUUGUUAGCUCUGAAUAUAUUGCUGCAGCGUUUUUUGGUUUUCAGUGUUGCUGAAGCAUUGGUAGAAGAGUUUCAGUAUGCACCAAGCAUACAACAAAACAACUACUCAUGAAAGUAUUGUAAAACAUGUUCUAUGGGGGAUGGAAAGUAAAUCUGGAAGGCAGUAUCUUACAUUCUUAUUGCAGGUAGCCAUUAAGCUUUGUUGCAGUAAGUUAAAUUCAAGUGGCAGUGCUAUUUACUGUGAAGUUGCUUUGGGGUGAUGUAAUAGGAUUGCUCAGGAAACUGGUAAUUGGCAAAGUCCAUUACUAUUACUGCUAGACUGACUUUAAAGGCUCUAGGCUAGUUUGCUGUACAUGAAAAACCUGGUGGCUGGGGAGCCAGCCUUAGAGGCCAGCAAGCAACAUAGCCACAAAAGCCAUUCCUCUCAACGAGGUGCUGCCUGAAGGGAAAGGAAGAAUAGUGCCAGCAAGAGAGACGAAAUGCUGAUUAUAAUUCUGCUGUCUCCACAUGGCUUUAGUCUGCGGUUUCCACACAAACCCAAAGGUUCUGGCAGCUGUAUUUUCUGCAGGUAUCACAAUGCUAGCCCUGCCCUG
rnacentral:lncRNA from 1 species